rnacentral:rRNA from 1 species
GACGAACGCUGGCGGCGUGCCUAAUACAUGCAAGUUGAGCGCUGAAGGUUGGUACUUGUACCAACUGGAUGAGCAGCGAACGGGUGAGUAACGCGUGGGGAAUCUGCCUUUGAGCGGGGGACAACAUUUGGAAACGAAUGCUAAUACCGCAUAAAAACUUUAAACACAAGUUUUAAGUUUGAAAGAUGCAAUUGCAUCACUCAAAGAUGAUCCCGCGUUGUAUUAGCUAGUUGGGGAGGUAAAGGCUCACCAAGGCGAUGAUACAUAGCCGACCUGAGAGGGUGAUCGGCCACAUUGGGACUGAGACACGGCCCAAACUCCUACGGGAGGCAGCAGUAGGGAAUCUUCGGCAAUGGACGAAAGUCUGACCGAGCAACGCCGCGUGAGUGAAGAAGGUUUUCGGAUCGUAAAACUCUGUUGGUAGAGAAGAACGUUGGUGCGAGUGGAAAGCUCAUCAAGUGACGGUAACUACCCAGAAAGGGACGGCUAACUACGUG